rnacentral:rRNA from 1 species
UACUCCUACGGGAGGCAGCAGUGAGGAAUAUUGGUCAAUGGGCGAGAGCCUGAACCAGCCAAGUCGCGUGAAGGAUGACUGUCUUAUGGAUUGUAAACUUCUUUUAUACGGGAAUAACAAGAGUCACGUGUGACUCCCUGCAUGUACCGUAUGAAUAAGCAUCGGCUAACUCCGUGCCAGCAGCCGCGGUAAUACGGAGGAUGCGAGCGUUAUCCGGAUUUAUUGGGUUUAAAGGGUGCGUAGGCGGCCUGUUAAGUCAGCGGUGAAAUCUAGGAGCUUAACUCCUAAAUUGCCAUUGAUACUGGCGGGCUUGAGUGUAGAUGAGGUAGGCGGAAUGCGUGGUGUAGCGGUGGAAUGCAUAGAUAUCACGCAGAACUCCGAUUGCGAAGGCAGCUUACUAAGGUACAACUGACGCUGAAGCACGAAAGCGUGGGUAUCAAACAGGAUUAGAUACCCUGGUAGUCCACGCAGUAAACGAUGAUAACUGGGCGUAUGCGAUAUACAGUAUGCUCCUAAGCGAAAGCGUUAAGUUAUCCACCUGGGGAGUACGCCGGCAACGGUGAAACUCAAAGGAAUUGACGG